UACGAGGGGGGCGAGCGUUGUUCGGAAUUCUUGGGCGUAAAGGGUGCGUAGGCGGUUUGGUAAGUCUUGUGUGAAAUCUUCGGGCUCAACUCGAAGUCUGCACGAGAAACUGCCGGGCUUGAGUAUGGGAGAGGUGAGUGGAAUUCCCGGUGUAGCGGUGAAAUGCGUAGAUAUCAGGAGGAACACCGGUGGUGUAGACGGCUUACUGGACCAUAACUGACGCUGAGACACGAAAGCGUGGGUAGCAAACAGG
rnacentral:rRNA from 1 species